GACACAAUCUUAUCUGAGCAUGGUCAUACUGAGAAAUCCAGAGAGAGUUGUGUGAAGCUGAUAGUUUUAAUUAGCUUCGUAGCAACUCAUUUGGCAACGGCUUGAAUGUAACGGAAAUUCAUUUUUAUCCAUGCGGCCCAAUAUAAUGCAACAUCAUUUAAUACAGUAUGUGUAGCAGGGGGUCUCUACUCCGUCUCUCUUUUAGCUAAGGGGUCCUUGGCCUAAAA